GUGUCAGCAGCCGCGGUAAUACGAAGGGGGCUAGCGUUGUUCGGAAUUACUGGGCGUAAAGCGCGCGCAGGCGGCUAUCCAAGUCAGUGGUGAAAGCCCGGAGCUCAACUCCGGAACUGCCAUUGAAACUGUUUAGCUUGAGGACGAGAGAGGUGAGUGGAAUUCCCAGUGUAGAGGUGAAAUUCGUAGAUAUUGGGAAGAACACCGGUGGCGAAGGCGGCUCACUGGCUCGUAUCUGACGCUCAGGCGCGACAGCGUGGGGAUCAAACAGGAUUAGAUACCCUGGUAGUCC
rnacentral:rRNA from 1 species